rnacentral:lncRNA from 1 species
UGGAACACAUUCCAAUCAAGCGAAAUAGACAAAAGAGAGGGUGUUGCAUAAAGAUAUUAUUAGAUUAUAUUAUUGUAGUAAAUUGCAAUACAAUAACGGUGGCAUUGGUAAUAGAUAGUAUAUUAAGCCAAAUCCAAGUGACAUAACAUAAAAAAUUUUCUCAAUACAAUACAACAAUAGUUGAAUUACAUGAAUCGUAACUACAAAUUUAAAUUGAAAUACAACUUUCAGCCACCAAACUUGGCUUCUCAUACAGAAAAUUGCAACUCUGAUUGGUCUUGGCUAGAUGCAAAAAGGAUUAUUAAACUUGAUAGUGCUCAAGUACUUAAAAAUACGGCAAUAUAAAAAUUACAUUGCCAAAUUAUACAUCACUUUGGAAAUCCAUCAAACACUUCAAAUUCAAGCUCCUCCUCCACAAAAAACCAAAAGUUAUAAGUGCACAGUCUAUUAGUGAUGUUGAGAACUAGAUUAAUCAAUAGAAAGAACCAUCAUAAAAAAAAUGCACUACAAAAACCAAAAUAGGCAUACUUGGAGAAUAAUUACGGAAAUAUUUCCUUAGAUCAUCAAAAAAAUAAAGAAAUUUCAUUAAAACGCAUCAGAUGGAACAUACCAGUAAUGACAUCAAAGCUAGCACAUGAAGGCAUCCAUAUACUGAAUUUCAUAUGCCUCCAGUGAUGAUUAUCAAAAGCAAGGUUUAAAAAAUUGAGACUUGGGCUUGAAUUAACUAGCAGUUAAUUUACCUAGUAACUCAGAAGCAGUCCAAGUCAAAAUUUUGUGAUAUCGGCUUAAUCAGUACAAUGGCAAUAAAUAAUUAUAACUGCUUCAUUCGGAAAUGGGUAAAUAACCAAUUCUUUAGCAUAUGGACGGGAGCAUGUUAGGGGGUCAAUGCUCAUUCGUUUUGCCCCCUUCAACAUUAAAGCAGUCAAAAGGAUGCCACUAAUGAGUAGCAUAAUGCAUUCUAUUAGUAACUCGUGCAGGUGGUCUUUCCAGCUCUGUUGUGGCAUAUUUCAACAUAUGAGAAGACUUAAAAAUUAGGAUCCAAAAUGAGGGAUUAACAUGGGAGAAAAUAAGGCUGAAAUUAAUAACAAUUCUGUAGGAAAUCAAGAGGCAUGGCAUGGAAAAUUUU